rnacentral:rRNA from 1 species
AUGCCGGAGUGCUUGCACUUUGGCAGACUGAGUGGCGGACGGGUGAGUAACGCGUGGGUAACCUGCCUUAUACAGGGGGAUAACAGUUGGAAACGACUGCUAAUACCGCAUAAGCGCACAGUACCGCAUGGUACAGUGUGAAAAACUCCGGUGGUGUGAGAUGGACCCGCGUCUGAUUAGCCAGUUGGCGGGGUAACGGCCCACCAAAGCGACGAUCAGUAGCCGACCUGAGAGGGUGACCGGCCACAUUGGGACUGAGACACGGCCCAAACUCC